rnacentral:rRNA from 1 species
CCUACGGGGGGCAGCAGUGAGGAAUAUUGGUCAAUGGGCGCGAGCCUGAACCAGCCAAGUAGCGUGAAGGAUGACUGCCCUACGGGUUGUACACUUCUUUUAUAAAGGAAUCAAGUGAGGCACGUGUGCCUUUUUGUAUGUACUUUAUGACUAAGGAUCGGCUAACUCCGUGCCAGCAGCCGCGGUAAUACGGAGGAUCCGAGCGUUAUCCGGAUUUAUUGGGUUUAAAGGGAGCGUAAAUGGGUUGUUAAGUCAGUUGUGAAAGUUUGCGGCUCAACCGUAAAAUUGCAAUUGAUACUGGCAGUCUCGAGUACAGUUGAGGUAGGCGGAAUUCGUGGUGUAGCGGUGAAAUGCUUAGAUAUCACGAAGAACUCCGAUUGCGAAGGCAGCUUACUAAACUGCCACUGACAUUGAUGCUCGAAAGUGUGGGUAUCAAACAGGAUUAGAUACCCGGGUAGUC